UAGUAUAGUAAUAUACAUAUAAAAAUAUUACUAUGUGGUGAUUCUGUUUUGCAAUUUUGAACCUUAAAACGUAAUCUCAAUUAACUUUACGAUUAAACAGUAGUUGCCAAUAUACAUUUACGAAGGAAAGACUUGUUUCUCUUACUGAUCCGCCGGCACAAGCCAAACUGAACCUUACGACCUCACCACUAUGUAUUUAUACAAUAUUGAUAAUUUAUAGUGAAACCUUGUUUUUCUAUUACUAAUUUAUUAUUAUUAUCUACGACUAUACAUGAAAUGACAAUAAACUUAUUUCUUCCAGAUUCUAUGCACCCUAUCUUUUUUAGCCACUGGAAGCUACCAGAACAUAGUUGGAAAAUCAAUUUUUAAUUAUGUAUCACAACCAUCUGCCAGCCGAGCUAUUAAUACAAUAGUAAAUGCACUAAAUCAUCCUGACAUAAUUAAAAAGUAUAUAAGAUUUCCACAAAAUCUUAAUUAAAGAGAAACUCUGAAACAAAGAUUUUUUGAGAAAUUUAAAAUUCCUGGUGUGAUUGGCUGUGUUGAUGGUCCUUUAGUGGCCAUGAUUCGUCCCAAAAUACAAGAAGAAAGAUAUUACUGCAGAAAAACUGCUGAUCCAUAGUUAGGCUGUAAACAGAGAAAGUUAUUUCAUUAGCAUGAUUAUUAUAAAGUGUUGAUCAUUUUUGGUUUAUGCAUUAAUAAAUCAUCAACGUGA